AACGCGAAGAACCUUACCUGGGCUCGAACGGCUUAAGACAAUCUUUGGAAACAGAGACUUCUCGCAAGAGACUUGAGUCGAGGUGCUGCAUGGCUGUCGUCAGCUCGUGUCGUGAGAUGUUGGGUUAAGUCCCGCAACGAGCGCAACCCUUGUCCUGUGUUGCCACUCCCGCAAGGGAAGCACUCUCAGGAGACCGCCAGCGAUAAGCUGGAGGAAGGUGGGGAUGAUGUCAAGUCAUCAUGGCCUUUAUGUCCAGGGCUACACACGUGCUACAAUGGGCGGUACAAAGCGCUGCAAACCCGCGAGGGGGAGCUAAUCGCAAAAAACCGUUCUCAGUUCGGAUCGCAGGCUGCAACUCGCCUGCGUGAAGCUGGAAUCGCUAGUAAUGGCGUAUCAGAAUGAUGCCGUGAAUACGUUCCCGGGCCUUGUA
rnacentral:rRNA from 1 species